UUGGUCCCUAUCUUCUGUGGGCGCACGAAACUUGAGGGGUUUUCUCUUUAGUACGAGAGGAUUUGGAGGGACGUACCUCUGGUGUUCCUGUUGUCACGCUAGUGGCACCGCAGGGUAGCUAAGUACGGUAUGGAUAAGUGCUGAAAGCAUAUAAGCACGAAGCCGUUCCCGAGAUUAGGUUUCGUUGAACUAUUGUUCUGAAGUCCCCUGGAAGACUACCAGGUUGAUAGGCCGGAUGUGUAAGGGUGGUAACAUCCUCAGCUGACCGGUACUAACGGACGAUUACUUGGCCACUUU
rnacentral:rRNA from 1 species